UACGUAGGGAGCAAGCGUUGUCCGGAAUCAUUGGGCGUAAAGCGCGCGUAGGCGGCCUUGUAAGUCCGUUGUGAAAGUCAAAGGCUCAACCUUUGAAAGCCGGAUGGAUACUGCAAGGCUAGAGUACGGAAGAGGCGAGUGGAAUUCCUGGUGUAGCGGUGGAAUGCGCAGAUAUCAGGAGGAACACCAAUAGCGAAGGCAGCUCGCUGGGA
rnacentral:rRNA from 1 species